rnacentral:rRNA from 1 species
AGUGAACGCUGGCGGUAGGCCUAACACAUGCAAGUCGAACGGCAGCACAGUAAGAGCUUGCUCUUACGGGUGGCGAGUGGCGGACGGGUGAGGAAUACAUCGGAAUCUACUUUUUCGUGGGGGAUAACGUAGGGAAACUUACGCUAAUACCGCAUACGACCUACGGGUGAAAGCAGGGGAUCUUCGGACCUUGCGCGAUUGAAUGAGCCGAUGUCGGAUUAGCUAGUUGGCGGGGUAAAGGCGCACCAAGGCGACGAUCCGUAGCUGGUCUGAGAGGAUGGUCAGCCACACUGGAACUGAGACACGGUCCAGACUCCUACGGGAGGCAGCAGUGGGGAAUAUUGGACAAUGGGCGCAAGCCUGAUCCAGCCAUACCGCGUGGGUGAAGAAGGCCUUCGGGUUGUAAAGCCCUUUUGUUGGGAAAGAAAAGCAGCAGGUUAAUACCCCGCUGUUCCGACGGUACCCAAAGAAUAAGCACCGGCUAACUUCGUG